rnacentral:rRNA from 1 species
GGAAGUAAAAGUCGUAACAAGGUUUCCGUAGGUGAACCUGCGGAAGGAUCAUUACUGAUACACAAAAUCCAUUCUUCGCCCUCGUGCGAGUGAGUGGUGCCGGUAUGAUGUCCUACCCUCCCUGCCCUGGGCGGGGGGAGAGGCAUGACUCGAACGAGUAUUUGAGCACUCUGCGUAUAGCGAUCACACUCGCCAGUCGAGUGUCUCGCGUGUCGGUGAAUCCCGACAAACCUUUUUCCCCACUCUGUGUGUGUGCUAUCGAGAACAGCAAUAUGCAAGACUCAAUAUGGGGGAUCACUUAGUCCUUAAAUCGAUGAAGAACAUAGUAAUUUGUGGAAAUUGAUGUGAGUUGUGAAAUUUUGUGAGCAUUGUGUUUUUGAAUGAAAAUUUCAGCAUGGACACUUUCGUAUCUGUGCUACAUUUGUUUCAGUAUAUAAAACGUAUCAUACGUAUUUACCAUUGCUGCUGCUACCCGGCGGCAUGCAAUGGUAUAAAGUGUCCGAUGGUCACGUGGGUGACGCCGACGACCGAACUCUGUUGACGUGUAUCUGAAAUCAAGUGUGACGACCCGCUGAACUUAAGCAUAUCAAUAAGCGGAGGA